rnacentral:rRNA from 1 species
UACGUAGGGUGCGAGCGUUGUCCGGAAUUACUGGGCGUAAAGCGUACGUAGGCGGCUUUGCAAGUUAGAGGUGAAAGCCUGGAGCUCAACUCCAGAACUGCCUUUAAAACUGCAUCGCUUGAAUCCAGGAGAGGUGAGUGGAAUUCCGAGUGUAGAGGUGAAAUUCGUAGAUAUUCGGAAGAACACCAGUGGCGAAGGCGGCUCACUGGACCGGUAUUGACGCUGAGGUGCGAAAGCGUGGGGAGCAAACAGG